GCCUAGUUAGCUUAGUUGGUAGCGCGUCUGCCUUGUUAAGCGCUAGGUCGCGGGUUCGAUUCCCGCCCGGGGUG
rnacentral:tRNA from 1 species